GACGAACGCUGGCGGCGUGCUUAACACAUGCAAGUCGAACGGAAAGGCCCUGCUUUUGUGGGGUGCUCGAGGGGCGAACGGGUGAGUAACACGUGAGUAACCUGCCCUUGACUUUGGGAUAACUUCAGGAAACUGAGGCUAAUCCCGGACAGGAGCUCCUGCUGCAGUGUGGGGAUUGGAAAGUUUCGGCGGUUGGGGAUGGACUCGCGGCUUAUCAGCUUGUUGGUGGGGUGGGGGGUUACCAAGGCUUUGAAGGGUCGCCGGCCUGAGAGGGUGGACGGCCACCAUGGGACUGAGAUACGGCGCAGACGGGAACGGGAGGCAACAGGGGGGAAUAUUGCACAAUGGGCCGGAGCCGGAUGCGACGGCGCCGCGUGCGGGAUGACGGCCUUUGGGUUGUGAACCGCUUUCGCCUGUGACGAAGCUGUAGUGACGGUAACGGGUAAAGAAGCACCGGCUAACUACGUG
rnacentral:rRNA from 1 species